CAGGUCGAGCAAGUCUCGUAAAUUUCACGAUUGCGAGCCACGCUUCACGCAACCGUGUUUGCGUACUUGUGUUUCGAGUUGCGUGGUCGUGCGGAGUUAUCUAUCUGUUCUUCAUGAGUUUUAGAUAAUUUUAGUUGUAUUUCUUUGUAAUUUUGUGUUGUACAAAGAUUAAUUUAACAUUUUCUGUGGAAGUAUUAAUUUAGAAAGAUAAUAUGAUUCAUUGGUGUUGUGUUUUGAAGUGUGAAAUGCAAAGUAAUUGUGAUAAAGUUCACUUUUAAACUGAACUAAAUAAGGUAUCUGAGAGACAACAAUGGUUAAAUGCAAUACAAUGUACAGGUUUUACUAGCGAAAUGAAAAUUUUCCUGUCCUGUCUGCUGUAAUCAUUUUAUAUCUGGAAAACCAGCCGACUUAAUCGAUAAUAACAAUCUCCAGAUUGGGUUCCUUCAAUAAAUAUGGGCUAUAAACAAUGAAAUAAGUUCCCCAAAAUCUAAAAUGGAGUGGUAUCAAAGGAGAAUUAAAGGAAAAAAUAUUCAUAUUGAAAUUAUUUAUAAGGCACUGGACUGUCUUAAAUUCUACAAUAAUACUAGAAUCAGCUGAGAGAAGUGGUCUACAAAAAACCAGGAAGGAAACGGAAUAUGUGGCUACGAAAGGCAAAAGAAAGGUUUACAAAGCAAAUGUGACAAAUUUUUUUGAAAUAUUUAGGAAUAUCAGUAAAUUGCAUUAAAAAAAUGUAUGAAAAGAUUUUGUUCAAUAAACAUGUUUAUAUUUA